CCUACGGGCGGCAGCAGUGAGGAAUAUUGGUCAAUGGACGAGAGUCUGAACCAGCCAAGUAGCGUGAAGGAUGAAUGCCCUAUGGGUUGUAAACUUCUUUUAUAAAGGAAUAAAACGCGGCACGUGUGCCUUUUUGCAUGUACUUUAUGAAUAAGGCUCGGCUAACUCCGUGCAAGCAGCCGCGGUAAUACGGAGGAUCCGAGCGUUAUCCGGAUUUAUUGGGUGUAAAGGGAGCGUAGGUGGGUUGGUAAGUCAGAUGUGAAAGUUUGCGGCUCAACCGUAAAAUUGCAAUUGAUACUGGCAGUCUAGAGUAUGGGUGAGGUAGGCGGAAUUCGUGGUGUAGCGGUGAAAUGCGUAGAUAUCACGAAGAACCCGGAUUGCGAAGGCAGCUUGCUAGACUGUGACUGACAUUGAUGCGCGAAAGUGUGGGUAUCAAACAGGAUUAGAUACCCGAGUAGUC
rnacentral:rRNA from 1 species